GACGAACGCUGGCGGCGUGCUUAACACAUGCAAGUCGAACGGAAAGUCCCUGCUUUUGGGGGGUGCGCGAGUUGCGAACGGGUGAGUAACACGUGAGUAACCUGCACUUGACUGUGGGAUAACUUAAGGAAACUGGGGCUAAUACCGGAUAGGAGCUCCUGCUGCAGGGUGGGGGUGGGAAAGAUUCGGCGGUUGGGCGUGGACUCGCGGCUUAUCAGCUUGUUGGUGGGGUAGUGGAUUAGCAAGGCUUGGAGGGGUGGCCGGCCUGGGCGGGUGAGCGGCCCCGUCAGGCUGGGACUGCGGCCCAGCCCACUCCCGGAGGGAGCAGUGGGGUAUAUUGCAUAAUGGACUGAAGCAUGACGCAGCCCAGCCGCGUGCGGGAUGACGGCAAUCGCGUAGUAAUCUGCUUUCGCCUGUGACGAAGUGUGAAUGACGGUAAUGGGUAAAGAAGCACCGGCUAACUACGUG
rnacentral:rRNA from 1 species